UACGGAGGGAGCUAGCGUUAAUCGGAAUUACUGGGCGUAAAGCGCACGUAGGCGGCUUUGUAAGUUAGAGGUGAAAGCCCGGGGCUCAACUCCGGAACUGCCUUUAAGACUGCAUCGCUUGAAUCCAGGAGAGGUGAGUGGAAUUCCGAGUGUAGAGGUGAAAUUCGUAGAUAUUCGGAAGAACACCAGUGGCGAAGGCGGCUCACUGGACAUGUAUUGACGCUGAGGUGCGAAAGCGUGGGGAGCAAACAGG
rnacentral:rRNA from 1 species